rnacentral:rRNA from 1 species
UAACACAUGCAAGUCGAGCGGAUGACGGGAGCUUGCUCCUUGAUUCAGCGGCGGACGGGUGAGUAAUGCCUAUGAAUCUGCCUGGUAGUGGGGGACAACGUUUCGAAAGGAACGCUAAUACCGCAUACGUCCUACGGGAGAAAGCAGGGGACCUUCGGGCCUUGCGCUAUCAGAUGAGCCUAGGUCGGAUUAGCUAGUUGGUGGGGUAAUGGCUCACCAAGGCGACGAUCCGUAACUGGUCUGAGAGGAUGAUCAGUCACACUGGAACUGAGACACGGUCCAGACUCCUACGGGAGGCAGCAGUGGGGAAUAUUGGACAAUGGGCGAAAGCCUGAUCCAGCCAUGCCGCGUGUGUGAAGAAGGUCUUCGGAUUGUAAAGCACUUUAAGUUGGGAGGAAGGGCAGUAAGCUAAUACCUUGC